GUUCACAUGUGCACCGCCAGCCCGCGAGGCGAGCAAGCCGUCCUCUCAGAACAAAGCGGUUCGCAGGCAAGCGGGUGCUGAGCUUAGUGUCAGCGCGCUCCGGGCGCUGCAGUCAGAGCGGAGCUUGGCACCGCCGGGGGUCACUGCAGGCGGCGCUGCCGGCCCACACGGGGCUUCACCCGGACCCCGGGGUUGCAUAAUUCGCUUCAGGGUCUCCGACAGGAUUCCCCUUCACUCUGCAACGCGAGGAAGGAUGGCAGGGGAGGGGGCCUGGGUAACUCCGUGUAAACGUGUCUGCUCAUUUCUGCCAACCUAGCAACCAAGAGGAGCGAUCUUCGGGCGCCCGAGUUGACCAGAGAACACGCCCGUGCAAACGAGGGCAAACAAUGGCUCGAACUCACGAAACUUGAACCUGUACUAAACCUUUCCUGUGACAUUAAAUUGUGUUUGGUUGACA